AAUCUCCUAAAAUGUGAUAAAACGUGAUGCAUAUAAUCUCAAUUUUACAUUGGACUGAACGAACCUACCGACUAAUCUGAUGUUCUUGGGGGCGUUGAUGAAUAAAGUGUGUUUACUUCUGUUGGACUGUGUCUGAUUCUCCCCGCAUGUUGAUUGUUGAGCUUGGUCUCUGGCCUCAACAGUUUUUUUACCUUGAAUUUCUGCUUCACUUAAAGCAUCUUAUUCAAGCGUGCUGUUUCUUUUCUAUGUAGAACUUGAGACAAAGAGAAUUUUGCUUGAUAUUUUCAAAGAGAAGCAACAGAAAAGUGUUGAAGCUGGGACGAUACCUAGUUUUUAUAAGAAGGCAUGUGAUAAAUUUUUUUUCUUGGGUGACUGACUUUGAAGUUUAUAUAUUAGUACAACGCGUGGAGUAAAAAGCCUGAAGAAGGAUCAAUUAGUCACCGGGUCCAAAGGCUUGCAAAAUAUCGUUUUUUGAAGAAACAGUCUGAUUUGCUGCUAAACGCUGAUGAUCUAGAUGCAAUGUGGGUUUGUUUGAGAGAAAAUUGUGUGAUUGAUGAUGCCACUGGUGCAGAAAAGAUGAACUAUGAAGACUUUUGUCACAUAGCUUCUGUAUGUACGGAGCAAAUUGGCCCAAAAUGUCGACGCUUUUUUAGCCCGUCAAAUUUCAUGAAAUUUGAGAAAGAUGAGUCAGGAAGGAUUGUCAUUCUGCCUUUCUAUUUAUACGUCAUGCGAACGGUUUCACUUACACAGGCCAGGAUUGAUAUGAGUGAGUUAGAUGAGGAU